GACGAACGCUGGCGGCGUGCUUACCACAUGCAAGUCGAACGGAAAGGCCCUGCUUUUGUGGGGUGCUCGAGUGGCGAACGGGUGAGUAACACGUGAGUAACCUGCCCUUGACUUUGGGAUAACUUCAGGAAACUGGGGCUAAUACCGGAUAGGAGCUCCUGCUGCAUGGUGGGGGUUGGAAAGUUUCGGCAGUUGGGGAUGGACUCGCGGCUUAUCAGCUUGUUGGUGGGGUAGUGGCUUACCAAGGCUUUGACGGGUAGCCGGCCUGAGAGGGUGACCGGCCACAUUGGGACUGAGAUACGGCCCAGACUCCUACGGGAGGCAGCAGUGGGGAAUAUUGCACAAUGGGCGGAAGCCUGAUGCAGCAACGCCGCGUGCGGGAUGACGGCCUUCGGGUUGUAAACCGCUUUCGCCUGUGACGAAGCGUGAGUGACGGUAAUGGGUAAAGAAGCACCGGCUAACUACGUG
rnacentral:rRNA from 1 species